UAAAUUAGUAAUGACUGUGAGGCAGCAUGUUGAUGUCUGAUAUAUAAUUUUUAUUAUAAAUAUAGAGCACAUUUUGCAAAUAAUUCAGAAGUGGCCUUAGCCAUGCAAAAUCAUAUGACACAGAAUAGCGUGGACGAGGGGAAGUAUAUACGGUCUGUGUCAGGGUUAGAAAACCCUGAAAGAGGUACCUGAGUACAGAGAACUCCCAACUAACCCUCUUUGAGGGGCCCUCUUGGACACAGCAUGAGAUCAAGUAAUCAAUAUUUAAUAAAACCUUUCUCUCAACAGCCCCAAAGUGAUUCCAUCUGUACAGAAGAAGGCAGGGUGUGAAGUACAUUUGCCUCUCCUUCUCCUGCCCUUCCUUUUAUCCUAACACACAUUGGGAUGCAUAGACCCCAUGAGAGAAAACACAUUUCAGAGGCUGUUCAAGAAGCCUAGGGCCCGGUUAUAAUAGUCCCGUUGUGUCCUAAGGAGCAUCGGCACCAGUGCAGCUUUCUUGGUUGUAAAUAGCGCCAAUGGAGUGAAUGAUAGUGUUCCCUUCAGGGUGCUCCCACUUCUCAAGGACCAAAUGCACCUUAGCAGGGCCAGGGUUUCCUGAGAAAGUGAGUGGGAAGACAAACAGAACAUGCACAGACAGAUACAUGGGAUAGAAUGGUGGCUGGUGAUUGGUCUGAGUUGCCUAGAAACUGAGUUAGAUCCAUCUCUAGCCAUGAAUGAGGAAAACAGCUUCUCCUUCUUUUCUAUUUAGAGCCCUUGACAUAGAAGCCUUGAGGAGCUCCUGGCCAAAGGGACUCGAGGGAUUUUGGUGGCUUCUUUCACCUAAGGCAGACAGAUUGGCUUACAUAGCUAAGCUAAGUUAGAAUAACCCCUCUCACAUAAAUAAGCAAUUACAAAAAUUAAAAUGGCAGAAUGUCUCAGACAAAUGGGAAAAAAAUCCAAUACCCCACACAGA